rnacentral:tRNA from 1 species
GGGCCCGUAGCUCAGCCUGGUAGAGCACUCGACCGAGCUUGCUGAAAAAUGAUGGGGUGAAGCUCUUAACCGAGGUGUCGAGGGUUCGAAAGGGACGGAAAUCCCUCCGGGCCCA